UAAAAGUCUCUUCUGAGUCAUUAAUCCAAGACAGCAUUGAAUUCCAUUCUAAGUGGUUAGACGUCUUUGGAGAAUUACCCUUCAGAUCCAGGGGAUCGACCACAAUGAAAACCAUUGAGAUAAUCUGCUGCCUCUUCAUCAUCAUCUUUGCUUUAGCAGUCUCUCACCCACUGUAUGACAAUGUUUUGGGAGACCAAGAAACAAAGCAG